CUAAACAAGAAGACAAACAACAGACUUGUGUCCUUUUUGGCUUCUUGUUUUCUCGGGAGAGAAAAAGAUAAGAAAAUAUAGCAAAAAAAGAUAAAAACUCAAUAAUAAAACUGAGAUUCUUUAGUUCCCUAUGAAAAGAAUAGUCAGCUUCCCGAAAAGCCUGUUCAUUUACUGAUACAUUUCAUUUUCUCCAUGGGAGAGAUCUCCGAUACUAUCAUGAUUCAUCGAAGACUCCGAUUGAUAAGUUAGUCAAUCAGUUCGAUGAUACAAUUAUAUAGUAAUUAUAAAACCGUCUACACUAUCAUAAUUUCUGGGCGGGAGGUGGCUGUUUUGCUGGAAUCAAUUCGGGUCGGCGUGGGUUUGGGUUCGUAUUAGUUUGGACAAAGGAUAUAACUCAGUUUAAACUCAUCCCUAAAGAUGGGCUAAAGCCAGACGAAAUAAGGGCAAUGCCCAUUAUUGAGCACAGCCCCGAUAAGCCACGUCAAUCAAACUCGAUGCAAAUAUUUCAUUGUCGAACACAAUCGUAAAGGGCUUAGGCCUUUCUGUCAUACACCCUUUUUUUUAACUCCCACACCACCACACAACCCAACAACCACACCCCACCCCCACGGCUAUUUUUAUAUUUCCAUAAUCUUGGAGCAAUGUUUUGGGCACCUGCCGAUUAUCUAAAUCAGAUUAUGAUUGGCUCAGUUGACACUUGGACAGUAUGAAGCACACUAAGCUGGUAAGCACCAAGAAUUUGUGCUAUAUUUGUGAGCUUUGCAUUGGAUGCCUGGACUGAGACUGACAUCUUUGCCGGACUUCCCUUUCAUUUCAUAAUCAACCCCAUUUAUCAGUGGCAUCUGGCAUGGCAUGGCCCCUUAUGAAUCUAUCACUGUCCAUUUUACAUCUACAGCUUCAACUUGUAGCCAUAUAUUAAAUGGAUUCUAUAUUUAUUCUUAUUUCUAUCUUGUUUGUAUGUCAA